GAUGAACGCUAGCGGCAGGCCUAAUACAUGCAAGUCGAGGGGUAUGGGUUGCUUGCAACCCAGAGACCGGCGCACGGGUGCGUAACGCGUAUGCAAUCUACCUUAAUCAGGGGGAUAGCCCGGAGAAAUCCGGAUUAACACCGCAUAACAUUGAGUUGUGGCAUCACAGUUCAAUCAAAUAUUUAUAGGAUUAAGAUGAGCAUGCGUGACAUUAGUUAGUUGGUGAGGUAACGGCUCACCAAGACCACGAUGUCUAGGGGAUCUGAGAGGAUGACCCCCCACACUGGUACUGAGACACGGGCCAGACUCCUACGGGAGGCAGCAGUAAGGAAUAUUGGUCAAUGGGCGCAAGCCUGAACCAGCCAUGCCGCGUGCAGGAAGACGGCCCUAUGGGUUGUAAACUGCUUUUGUACCGGAAUAAACCUUCUCUUGCGAGAGAAGCUGAACGUACGGUAAGAAUAAGGAGCGGCUAACUCCGUG
rnacentral:rRNA from 1 species